UAUUGACAUACUGGGCUGAAUAAGUCUUUGUGGUCGGGGGCUGUCGUGUCCAUUGAGGGAUGUUGAGCAGCAACCUUGGACUCUACUCUGAAGAUGCCAGCAGAAAUGCUACCUCCUGGUUAGAAUCAGCCCAAGUUGAGAACUAAUGUCCCAGACUAAUUCAAGAAGUUGGGGGCAAGAUGCAAUCUGGAUCAGCCAGCGGGAAACCAGACAGUGAGGUGUGGGACCCACAAGGUCUUCUGCCCUGACUUAUCAGAGCUGCGCCCUCCCUCUGCUACCUUCUUCAACCCGGAACCUCCUUCUUCAACCCGGAAGUGUUCAGCCCAGCCCUUGCCCUCGCAGGAAGUGUCUACGGGUCUUGGAGCUGAGACAGGAAGUGACUCGGUGAGCUUCUCGAAGGCACCAACCUCGUCUUGGCCGUCAGUCGAAUUUCCAGAUCCUACUAGAGAAUUCAACGGAUUCCUGUUAAUGGAUCAUCUACCCACCCUCUGCCCAUUUUAUGGAUGCAGAAGCUGAAGCCCAGAGAGGACGCCUGACCUGCUUUAGGUCACACAGUACCCUGACAGCUGAGUCAGACACAGGAAUUCAACCUGCUGGACCUUUGACCAGUGGCCUGUCCCUUUCUUACAUGUCCCCCCUUUUUGUGUGUUGGCUUUUCCCUCCAUCUCAGCCCUUGGGGUGUCUCUUCUUUUCAUCCGAAAACGUACAAUGAAAAGCCAAAGUAUGGAUUGCGAAUAAAGGUGAGGCUAUUCCCUC